CAAAAUUUAAUUUAUGAUAACUUCUGGUUAAAACUUUAUAAAUCAUUACAAUCAAACUACAAAAUCUAAUUUACUUGUCUAAGUAUUAACGUAUUGCCGUUGUGGACGUAACGUGACAUCUUGCUUAUUGUCCUGUCAUCAUUCAUAACAAUAUCACAUCAUUUGCAUAUUUGCGACACAUUAAUAUUUAUUCAACUAAAUUGGGAUGUGGAGUUUGAUUGCAACAACUUAGAUAAUUCGAGUGACACAUUGUAACAAAUUAAAGUUUGAGGAUCAAAUCGUAUAGCGUGUCUCAUGGUUUGAGACCAAAAUUGUAAUUUAGCUUUUUUGUUUUUAGGCACCUUCUAAAGAUUCUUUUUCCAGUCAUAUGAAUCCCUAUCAUGAUUUUGAUAGAGAAACCAAAAACCUAAAAACAUUGUUUGUUGGCCAUACAAAGUUCUAUCAUUGACCCUUCCUUCAAAGAAUAGGUAUUUACACUACAACAAAAACGGUCUAUAGCGACACUUUUAAAUGUAGGUGCAUGUCAAAAAAGUGCUGCUAGCUAAAAUUACCGACACUUUUAAAAAGUGUUGCUAUAUGUGGGGUCGCUAGGUAUAUAGUGACAGUUAAAGAGUAUCGCUAUAACCUAAAAGAGUGCUGCUAAUUAACCAACACUUAUUUAAGCAUUUAGCAACCGCCGAAACUCUAUCUCGUUGGCUGCGGUGGCAGAGGAGGACGACAUGAAGGCUCUUCGUCUAGAAUUUCAGUGGAUUGAGUGAAGAGAGAAGAAAAGAUGGUAAUUGAUUUUUCUUUUUUUUUUCUUUUCUGUUUGUAAUCGGGCCAAAUGGACUGGGUGUGGUGGGUUGAGUAGAGUAAUCUUUUAUUUUUGGUUGGAUUAGGCUUUAUAUAUAGGCAGUAGUAGAUGUUUUUUUAAGUUUUAGGAUAAAUAGGACACUUAUUCAAAAGUGUCCCAAACAUGUGUCCCUAUAACCUAAUUCUGUUGUAGUGUUAAGGGAGGACAACGGAUCGGAUACGGUCGGAUAUUUGAUGAAACUGUAUCUGUUUUUUUUUUUUAAUACAAAUUCGGAUGUGUAUAUAUUUCGAAUGCUAAAUUUUUGUUAUUAUAUCUGCUAAAAACGAAUUUGGAUACGAUCAAAUACUUCGUAGGAUUUGAAUAUGGAUCUGAUUUGUAUUUGGGUAUUAUUUUAAUGAGAAUCAAGACAUUAUUAUUGUUUGGUUUAGAAAAAUUUAAUUGUCCAAAAA
rnacentral:lncRNA from 1 species